rnacentral:lncRNA from 10 species
AAGAACAAAGGUCUGGUGAGGCCAACCAGGGAAAGGCCAGCCCGGGCCUCUCGGGAUCUCAAGCCCUCGGCCUGUGUGUGUGCCAGAGCUUCCCACAGACUCGGGAAGAAGGUGCCGGAGGCUUGCCGGGCGGCCUUGCGGUUUGAAGCAGUGAGUCACCUUCUGGCUGCAAGUCAAGGAACUCUCACUGCGCCCUUGUUUGGACAAGACGAGGAGGCGCACUCAGAGUCAGAGACCCCGGGGCAGAGACAGGGGCAAGAAGAAGGGGCCACCGAGACCCCAAGAGAGUCAGGGAGACAGACGCACCAAACGACCGACACAACCAGGGACAGCAGGGAGGAAAAGUUGCCUAUCUGUUGGGUCAGAUUUCUGAAGACUGAUGAGGCCCAUUUUCUGAUAUCCUUCGAGUUGGAUUUCGACUGGGUUCUGCCAGUGGGAUGUAUCCAUGCGAGAUUCUGGAACUAACAUCAGAGAGAGUCCAAGCUUCUAACUUUUAUCAGCGGCAGUGACAAUAGUCAAGCAGCAUUGAUGACAAACGGCAAGAGUUUAGAAAGUACCAGUGACGUGCCUGAUAGAAUCUCACCACAAGAUGGAAGCCAACUCGUCAGAAGCCUGGAAAGCCCACCCAGCGUGGGACCUCUGUGGGUCCAGGAUCUUGGAAUGGUAUCCCAUGGUUCAAUCUUCUGGAUUCAACCACAUAAAUUUACCCCACCCAUGUCGUGGACCCAAGCUUCCUACCAUGUAUACUUAGCUUAAAUGCAAGAUAGUACUAUUUUGUUCAUCUUGAUUGGAGUGAGAAAUGAAUAGGUCCAUGCACAUAUAUUUCUUUUACCACAACAAGAUGAUGAAGAAAUAAAUCCAUAAUAUCGAUACUUUUGUAUAAGUUGUGUUUACAGUUGCGGUAAGAAAUUUUAUAAUUGUUGAUUUGCUUUAUAUAAUUUCUGCUUGCUUUUUAUGAUAUUUAAAACAAAAUCUAAGCAACAAAUUUUAUGUCUGAUUAGAUUUACAGAAGCUGCUUAAGUGCUUAGGGAUAAUUUGUUCAUCAUAUUUGUAAGUCUCCCUUGUUAGGUGUUUGAAGUGUUUGAAUUGGCUAAAUUAAAUUUGUAAUUGUAGUUUGAAAUAUCUAAAGGAAUUUUCUUAAUUAAGUGUUUAAAUGAUGUUAAAAGUUUGUGGGAAUUUAAUCUAUCAAAUUUAUGAGUUAAUUGAAUAUGAAUCAAUGAACAAGUAAAUGUGAUCUUGCUUUUAUAUAAAAACUACUAAGUUCAUAAAUAAAAUACAAAGAUCCAUAAGUUGAGAGGAAAAGCAAAAGAGCCAGAUUCUAAGAUCUAUAACUUAAAAAAAUUAAAUAUUGAUUGAAAUGUAAGUCAUUGCAAUUAUCCCCACUAGCUGAAAUCUCACAUCUGAGUGCUUACACACAAAACAAAAUGUUACCCUGAACAUACUAAACAAAUAAAAAACCACGUGGUAAUUACUAUACACAUGCUCACUGCUGGAAGCAUUCAUACUGCACUCAAAUCCAGGUGGGAGAAUGCAGCGUGUGCUACAGGUGAAUCUCGGCUGUUCUCUUAUGGGGAUCAGGUCUUUUUCUUAAUUAUCUUCCACGGAUUUUUCUUCCUUUACCCAGAGACCUGGAGGCCCUCCCAGCCCAGGUCCAAUUCAGAUGGAUACAUACUUAACAUCACUAACCUAUUGAUUUGCUUGUUUAUUU